GACAGAGGGUGCAAACGUUGUUCGGAAUUACUGGGCGUAAAGCGCGUGUAGGCGGCCCUGCAAGUCGGAUGUGAAAUCCCACGGCUCAACCGUGGAAGUGCAUUCGAAACUGCAGGGCUAGAGUCCUGGAGAGGAAGGUGGAAUACUUGGUGUAGAGGUGAAAUUCGUAGAUAUCAAGCGGAACACCGGUGGCGAAGGCGGCCUUCUGGACAGUGACUGACGCUGAGACGCGAAAGCGUGGGGAGCAAACAGG
rnacentral:rRNA from 1 species